GACGAACGCUGGCGGCGUGCUUAACACAUGCAAGUCGAGCGGUAAGGCCCUUUCGGGGGUACACGAGCGGCGAACGGGUGAGUAACACGUGGGUGACCUGCCCUCAGCUCUGGGAUAAGCCCGGGAAACUGGGUCUAAUACUGGAUAUGACUCCAUGACGCAUGUUGUGGGGUGGAAAGCCUUGUGCGGCUGAGGAUGGGCCCGCGGCCUAUCAGCUUGUUGGUGGGGGAUGGCCUACCAAGGCGACGACGGGUAGCCGGCCUGAGAGGGCGACCGGCCACACUGGGACUGAGACACGGCCCAGACUCCUACGGGAGGGCAGCAGUGGGGAAUCUUGCGCAAUGGGCGAAAGCCUGACGCAGCGACGCCGCGUGAGGGAUGACGGCCUGGUGUAAC
rnacentral:rRNA from 1 species